rnacentral:rRNA from 1 species
AACGAAAGCUGGCGGCAGGCUUAAACAUGCAAGUCGAGCGCCCCGAAAGGGGAGCGGCAGACGGGUGAGUAACACGUGGGAACCUACCCAUCCCUACGGAACAACUCCGGGAAACUGGAGCAAAUAACGUAUACGCCAGCGGCGGGAAAGAUUUAUCGGGGCUGGAGGAGCUCGCGUUGGAUUAGCUAGUUGGUGGGGUAAAGGCCUACCAAGGCGACGAUCCAUAGCUGGUCUGAGAGGAUAAUCAGCCACAUUGGGAGUGAGACACGGCCCAAACUCCUCCGGGAGGCAGCAGUGGGGAAUAUUGGACAAUGGGCGCAGGCCUGAUCCAGCCAUGCCGCGUGAAUGAUGAAGGCCUUAGGGUUGUAAAGUUCUUUCACCGAUGAAGAUAAUGACGGUAGUCGGAGAAGAAGCCCCGGCUAACUUCGUGCCAGCCGCCGCCGUAA